rnacentral:misc_RNA from 1 species
AGUUUUUUUUAAAAAUCUAAAUAAACUAUAGAUAACCUGCCUUUUAGUGCACAAAACUUACAUGAUCUAGAUUUUUAUGCCUUUUUUGUUGCUUUAUCGCAGUUUUUUUGUCAGAUUAAUACCCACGUAACAUAUCAGUGACAUGUACUGCUGAUAAUGAAUG